UACGGGGGGAGCAAGCGUUGUUCGGAUUUACUGGGCGUAAAGGGCGCGUAGGCGGCCACUGCAAGUCAGUUGUGAAAUCUCCGGGCUUAACUCGGAAAGGUCAACUGAUACUGCAGGGCUAGAGUGCGGAAGGGGCAACUGGAAUUCUCGGUGUAGCGGUGAAAUGCAUAGAUAUCGUCAAGAACACCGAUAGCGAAGGCAGCUUACUGGGCUGUAACUGACGCUGAUGCACGAAAGUGUGGGGAUCAAACAGG
rnacentral:rRNA from 1 species